AUUGAACGCUGGCGGCAGGCUUAACACAUGCAAGUCGAGCGAGCGGCGGACGGGUGAGUAAUGUCUGGGAAACUACCCGAUGGAGGGGGAUAACUACUGGAAACGGUAGCUAAUACCGCAUACCAUCAGAUGUGCCCAGAUGGGAUUAGCUAGUGGGGGGGGUAAUGGCUCACCUAGGCGACGAUCCCUAGCUGGUCUGAGAGGAUGACCAGCCACACUGGGACUGAGACACGGCCCAGACUCCUACGGGAGGCAGCAGUGGGGAAUAUUGCACAAUGGGCGCAAGCCUGAUGCAGCCAUGCCGCGUGUGUGAAGAAGGCCUUCGGGUUGUAAAGCACUUUCAGCGGGGAGGCGUUACCCGCAGAAGAAGCACCGGCUAACUCCGUGCCAGCAGCCGCGGUAAUAC
rnacentral:rRNA from 1 species